GCUGGGUGCACCAGGUGGGAGCCAGUGAAGCUCAGCCUCACCUUGGGCCAGUGCCCUGUUAGGUGGGUCCUGAUGAAGCCCCGGGCAGAAGGCUGGAGCCAGGCAUCCAAGAGCAAGGGCACAACCUGAGAGUGGUCUUGGGGGACUGCAAGAAAAAAAAGAGUUAGUGGCUGCACUCCACUUCUAUAAAAUAAAUGCCAGUGGCUGGAAAUUGACCUUGGACAGAGAAUGAACAUCACAGAUUUGGCCUCCUCUGAUCAGCUAUCUCCUGAUGUUCAGUGACAGUGGGAAGAACUAGAAGCAAUGUCAAUGUGAAGAAAGCAUCUGGUUACUGACCUACGAGAGGGUCAAGAAUGUUCAAGGUUGCUACCAGCUGACCCACCGUGCCUCCAGCCUCACUGGGAUGAACCCCAGGGUUUCUGAGCAUGGCUCUUUAUGGGGCCCACAGCUAAUGUAA
rnacentral:lncRNA from 1 species